AGAGUUUGAUCCGUGGACUCAGGACGAACGCUGGCGGGCGUGCUUAACACAUGCAAGUCGAACGGGGAUUAAGGUGGAAGUCCUUCGGGGUGGAAAUCUUAAUUCCAGUGGCGGACGGGUGAGUAACGCGUGAACAAUCUGUCCCAGACAGGGGAAUAACACUUGGAAACAGGUGCUAAUACCGCAUAAGACCACGGUGUCGCAUGGCACGAGGGGUAAAAGGAGGAAUCCGGUUUGGGGUGAGUUCGCGUCCGAUUAGAUAGUUGGUGAGGUAACGGCUCACCAAGUCGACGAUCGGUAGCCGACCUGAGAGGGUGAUCGGCCACAUUGGAACUGAGAGACGGUCCAAACUCCUACGGGAGGCAGCAGUGGGGGAAUAUUGGGCAAUGGGCGAAAGCCUGACCCAGCAACGCCGCGUGAGCGAAGAAGGCUUUCGGGUUGUAAAGCUCCGUUAUAGGGGACGAAGGAAGUGACGGUACCCUAUAAGGAAGCCCCGGCUAACUACGUGCC
rnacentral:rRNA from 1 species